CAACAGGCGUAUUAGUCUAAACACCGUGGUAAGAUAAGGCCGGUAACAGAAUGUAAGCAUACAUUGCUUAUACUUAAAAUGGUUUAUCUGAGGAAGUAACAAUUAGUUAUGAAACUAAUAUAAUAAUAUCCGGAAAAUCUGUAAUAUUGCAUAUCGUUCGCUAUACUGUACUGCACAUGGAUUUGGCUUUGAAAGUGUAAGAUUAAACUACACAGAUUGUCUCCUCUUGGAAUAUAUGGAGAAGGAGACGUAUCAUCAUAUUACUGAAUUAAGAAGAGAAACAUCCUCCCCACUGGAUUCCACGGGAUUUGCACUUCUACUGUGAACUAAUACAUCUACAGGAUAAGAACUGUUUAUCCCUGUAUGGGAAGUUGUAACAUACAUCUGGGGGAAUACUUCUUGUUAUAUAUGUUUAUGUACUUUGUUAUAUCCGGUGUGUAAGCUAUUUUGGCUCUGAUAUGUUUAUCAGAUAAAUUUAUUGUGGAAGUUAA